GGGCUGGUAGCUCAAUGGUUAGAGCAGAGCACUCAUAAUGCUUUGGUUGCGGGUUCGAAUCCCGCCCGGCCCACCA
rnacentral:tRNA from 1 species